GACGUAGGGUGCGAGCGUUGUCCGGAUUUAUUGGGCGUAAAGAGCUCGUAGGCGGCUCGUCGCGUCGACCGUGAAAACCCGCGGCUUAACCCCGGGUCUGCAUUCGAUACGGGCAGGCUAGAGUGUGGUAGGGGAGAUCGGAAUUCCUGGUGUAGCGGUGAAAUGCGCAGAUAUCAGGAGGAACACCGGUGGCGAAGGCGGAUCUCUGGGCCAUUACUGACGCUGAGGAGCGAAAGCGUGGGGAGCGAACAGG
rnacentral:rRNA from 1 species